GACGAACGCUGGCGGCGUGCUUAACACAUGCAAGUCGAACGGAAAGGCCCUGCUUGCAGGGUACUCGAGUGGCGAACGGGUGAGUAACACGUGGGUGAUCUGCCCUGCACUUCGGGGUAAGCCUGGGGAACUGGGUCUAAUACCGGAUAGGAGCCAUUUUUAGUGUGGUGGUUGGAAAGUUUUUUCGGUGUAGGAUGAGCUCGCGGCCUAUCAGCUUGUUGGUGGGGUAAUGGCCUACCAAGGCGGCGACGGGUAGCCGGCCUGAGAGGGUGGACGGCCAAAUUGGGGCCUGGAAACCGCCCCGGCCCCCACCGGGGGCAGGCGGUGGGAAUAUUGGACAAUGGGGCGAAGCCUGAUGCAGCGACCCCGCGUGGGGGAUGACCGGCCUCGGGUUGGAAACCCCUUUCGCUCGGGACGAAGCUUUUUGUGACGGUACCUAGAUAAGAAGCACCGGCUAACUACGUG
rnacentral:rRNA from 1 species